AUUGAACGCUGGCGGAAUGCUUUACACAUGCAAGUCGAACGGCAGCACGGACUUCGGUCUGGUGGCGAGUGGCGAACGGGUGAGUAAUACAUCGGAACGUGCCCAGUCGUGGGGGAUAACGUAGCGAAAGCUACGCUAAUACCGCAUACGAUCUACGGAUGAAAGCGGGGGAUCGCAAGACCUCGCGCGGUUGGAGCGGCCGAUAUCAGAUUAGGUAGUUGGUGGGGUAAAGGCCCACCAAGCCGACGACCUGUAGCUGGUCUGAGAGGACGACCAGCCACACUGGGACGGAGACACGGCCCAGACUCCUACGGGAGGCAGCAGUGGGGAAUUUUGGACAAUGGGCGAAAGCCUGAUCCAGCAAUGCCGCGUGCAGGAAGAAGGCCUUCGGGUUGUAAACUGCUUUUGUACGGAGCGAAAAGGUCCUUUCUAAUACAAGGGGCUCAUGACGGUACCGUAAGAAUAAGCACCGGCUAACUACGUGCCAGCCGCCGCAGUAA
rnacentral:rRNA from 1 species